rnacentral:rRNA from 1 species
GGAUUGGUGCCUUCGGGAACUGUGAGACAGGUGCUGCAUGGCUGUCGUCAGCUCGUGUUGUGAAAUGUUGGGUUAAGUCCCGCAACGAGCGCAACCCUUAUCCUUUGUUGCCAGCGGUCCGGCCGGGAACUCAAAGGAGACUGCCAGUGAUAAACUGGAGGAAGGUGGGGAUGACGUCAAGUCAUCAUGGCCCUUACGACCAGGGCUACACACGUGCUACAAUGGCGCAUACAAAGAGAAGCGACCUCGCGAGAGCAAGCGGACCUCAUAAAGUGCGUCGUAGUCCGGAUUGGAGUCUGCAACUCGACUCCAUGAAGUCGGAAUCGCUAGUAAUCGUGGAUCAGAAUGCCACGGUGAAUACGUUCCCGGGCCUUGUACACACCGCCCGUCACACCAUGGGAGUGGGUUGCAAAAGAAGUAGGUAGCUUAACCUUCGGGAGGGCGCUUACCACUUUGUGAUUCAUGACUGGGGUGAAGUCGUAACAAGGUAACCGUAGGGGAACCUGCGGUUGGAUCACCUCCUU